rnacentral:rRNA from 1 species
GUGGGGAAUCUUGCGCAAUGGGCGAAAGCCUGACGCAGCCAUGCCGCGUGAAUGAUGAAGGUCUUAGGAUUGUAAAAUUCUUUCACCGGGGACGAUAAUGACGGUACCCGGAGAAGAAGCCCCGGCUAACUUCGUGCCAGCAGCCGCGGUAAUACGAAGGGGGCUAGCGUUGCUCGGAAUUACUGGGCGUAAAGGGCGCGUAGGCGGACAGUUUAGUCAGAGGUGAAAGCCCAGGGCUCAACCUUGGAAUUGCCUUUGAUACUGGCUGUCUUGAGUACGGGAGAGGUGAGUGGAACUCCGAGUGUAGAGGUGAAAUUCGUAGAUAUUCGGAAGAACACCAGUGGCGAAGGCGACUCACUGGCCCGUUACUGACGCUGAGGCGCGAAAGCGUGGGAGCAAACAGGAUUAGAUACCCUAGUAGUCC